AUGCUUAUCGAGUACGAGGACGGCGACCUGUCGUCUGUCGAGCUCAUGCAGAACGGCGCGGGUUGGACCAAGAUGGACCGGUCGUGGGGCGCGGUGUGGAGGUACAACUCCGGGGCCAUGCUGCAGGCGCCAUUCCCGGUCCGCCUCACCUCCAGCUCCGGCAAGCCCCUCGUGGAAGCAACGUCAUCCCCGCCGGCUGGAAGCCCGGCCGCACCUACCGCUCCUAGCUCAGCGCGGCCGCGACGGCGAGCUCGUCUAGGCCGACGCCCGCGGAGACCAUCUGUGUGGGCAGCCGGUACGACGCCGGGAGCGUGA
rnacentral:rRNA from 1 species